ensembl:lncRNA
AUAAUGACAUCUUGUUUUCACUAGCAUUAUGUCUUAUUUGUGAUCAGGUUUUCAGAAGCUUUGGCCAGUUGCUCAUCCAGUGGCAGGAACACCUACAGCCCAGCGACCUGCAGCUUCCAGCAAUAAAACUGCUGUCAUAGAGAACGCUGCUUAAAUUUGUGUCACAGAAAACGGAAGACCUCUCCAACAUUGUGUUGUUACUCAGAAGGCAAUGCCUCACCAUCAAACUGUCUCGUCACCUCAUCUCCUCCUGGAAUGGCUUACCUUCUGACACAAAGCACCAUCAGGGCAGAGCAUGAAUGACUCUGGAGUGCUGAAAGAAAGCCAAUGACACCCUGUCCUCAAAACAAAGGACGUGAUUUCAGCGGUUGCAUCAUGUUGGUUGAAUCUCCUACUCUUGAUGAGGCCUGAGAUCAUUAUCUGAAGCAGAUUCAGGCCGGCUCUUAGAGAAAUGCCCUGCAGCUUUUUUUGUAUUACGAUCUAAAGAGGCCCACAAUGUGCACUGACUUUUG